CAUUCUGCAUUGAGUGAUCUGCUCAUCGCCAAAUCGAGGAUAUAGUGCAGAUAAAUCUGCAUCCACCACCGCCAUUGCCUAGACUAGCAGGAGGCACGCCGAAACCGCGUGACCAGCGAUCAAGUUGAACGUGGCGACCACCAUGAUCUUGUGCAUCCAUAGUCAUCUAUCCUUUCUAUGUUUCCACAUUAGAAGUAGGUGCACGAAAAUGGUUUCAGCUUGUGUAACUUAAUCGAGUAAUCAAUAACUUUUAAUAUAUCAUGAUCAUGGUAUUGUAUAUAUGCCUAAUUGGCUUUAGUAGUGGCUGUAAUUGACCAUGACGCCUAAUUUAUUUUUCACUCAUUUUCAGUGUUUA